AAAUCUCACAUUAGAAGCAAAGGCCAUGAUUCCUGCCCAUUCUCUGCCCUCACCACAAAACCUGGAUUAAUUAGGACAGAACAGCCAGAAAUAUGAUGACCAAUCAGUUACACUUUCUACGCUCUUUAGCCCAGCCAUCAGGAUGAAUUUAGAUUAGACAUACUCAAGAAUAUCCAUGAGCAAUAACUAUAAGCUUUGUCAUAGAUAACUGUAUUGGCUGUGUUUAAAUGUACAACUCUGUUUUUCUAUUAUUAUGUGAUAUUUCAUGUUGACUUGUCAAACUGAAAAAUACCCAUAUUGAUUUUGUAGAAAGCUUCACAUGUGAGAUAAAUGCACUCAAAGAUUCCUCACAAGUAGCUCUUUGGAGCUUCAGAUGUGAAAUGGAUCAUUCCUCAAUCUGUAAUAGACCCUUCUGUGAAGCUCUUCAAUCAAACUAGAGAAUUCAAGGCGUUUUGUAGCAUCCUAAACAGAAGGAUAUUGCAGGGAGCUGAUUCUGCUUUGAUCCUUGUGCUUGUUGUCAAAGCGCUUGGGAUUGAAGAGACUGUUGGCUACAAUUGACUGUGACAAUUAGGAGAUGAUCAGAGCCCUAGAGUGGAGCACUUAAAGGGUAAUUUACAUGUCAGUUUGUCGAAUAAAAAAAAAGAUAUUCAGCUAAGAUUUUUUUCCCCCUCAGAGCCUUGUAAACUGCAAUUUGUGCUCUGGUAAGAAAAACCUGGCAGAGGAGUUUGGAUAGCCAUUACCAUUUGAAAAGAAGCAAUCAUAAGGCCGCUGCUGAGUCCUUUGUCCACUAAAAAUGCUGAUUUGCAGGCAGUGAGUGAAAAAGUGGAACCGUCACUAAAUAAAACCCGAGCUAGGUAACUACCCUCCACCCCAGCCCUUCAUGGCUUUUUAGUGUUGGUUAAAGGUGUUUUUUUUUUUAAAUGUAUCAUAAAUCCUACAUUUACUAUCAUUACAAUCCUGUUAUUGGUUAUGAAUGUCUUUUUCUAUAAAUAAAUAAGUAAAAUGGUCACACUGAGGAAGUGGUUGUGGAAUAGAAGCCAAGAGUCAAUUUGAAAGGCUAAAGCUGACUAUCACUUGUAUCAGAUUUUUCCUUAUUCUUUUUCCUUCUGUACACCAUCAUAAUUUCCAUCCUCUGCACUAUGCUGUUGUUUUCCUCUGUCGUAUCAAUGUGCUCCUAGGUUUUUUCAUUUAU
rnacentral:lncRNA from 1 species